GACGUAGGGUGCGAGCGUUGUCCGGAUUUAUUGGGCGUAAAGAGCUCGUAGGCGGCUCGUCGCGUCAGCUGUGAAAACCCGCAGCUUAACUGUGGGCUUGCAGCUGAUACGGGCGGGCUAGAGUUCGGUAGGGGAGACUGGAAUUCCUGGUGUAGCGGUGAAAUGCGCAGAUAUCAGGAGGAACACCAAUGGCGAAGGCAGCUCGCUGGGACGGUACUGACGCUGAGGCGCGAAAGCGUGGGGAGCAAACAGG
rnacentral:rRNA from 1 species